rfam:Myotis davidii contig192190, whole genome shotgun sequence.
AGUGGUUCUCGGUAACACAUCCUGGAAUUGGGUUCCCUCCUCUCUGGUUCCAUGGUGCGUCACCCAAGAACUGCC